rnacentral:rRNA from 2 species
CGAGUGUGGCGGCCAUAGCGGCGGGGCAACUCCUGAACCCAUUCCGAACUCAGAAGAUAAGCCCGCGUGCGUUCCAUACUGUACUUAGGUGCGCGAGCCCUCGGGAACUAUGGAUCGCUGCCA